rnacentral:lncRNA from 1 species
UCCAGCGACGCCUCUCAGCCCGGAGUCUCCAGCGACGCCUCUCAGCCCGGAGUCUCCAGCGACGCCUCUCAGCCCGGAGUCUCCAGCGACGCCUCUCAGCCCGGAGUCUUCAGCGACACUCUUCAGCCCGGAGUCUCCAGCGAUGCCGCGCAGCCCAGGGUCUUCUGAACGGGAGCUGCACCCAGAGCCAGAGCCACCUCCAUAGUGAACCGCCUACCAAAAAAGGACCAAGCAGCGGAAGAAGGAGCAGCAGGAGAGAUAUUUGGAGUCGUGGACAUGGGAGGAGAUUUUGGACGGCAAGGGAUCCUGGACAUUGGAGGAGAUCCAGAAGGGAUUAAAUCGCCGUCCAUGGGAAGAAGUGGAGGCAGCAAGGGCAGACCGGCGACAGAGGGAGGAACUGGAGGCAGCAAUGGCAGAGCGGCGCUAUUAUGAGGCGCUGUAUAGGGCCAAAGGCAAGUACGAGAGGCAGGUGCUUAUUAUGGGGAGCGACGGAUCAAGCAAGCACCUUGUUACGCAGAAAUGCGCACGGUGUAGCCCAUACGCACGCACAGUCCGAUACGGCCAAUAAGGGCACCGUAGCGUUGCUGGGCGAGAGUUGGCCGGCAGCCAGGAAGAAGUAUGCUGGCACAACGGAUCUGGUCUCCAGUGCGUCUCCUCGGCCCAGUUAACCUUGCGCCUGCUCUACGCAUGGCAGCCCUCAUUCCCCAGCACAGCCCAGUUUGCCCUGUGCCAGUGCUCCGCCUGUGCCGGGCUACAGUGACUAUCCAGCCAGGAUGGGUUGUGCAGGCCGUGCACUCCAGACCUCCAGUACAUCUCCAAGACCCAGUAUACCCUGUGCCUGUUCCUGCUCUCCGCACUAGCCCUGAGGUGCGUGUUACUAGUCUGGCACCUCCUAUGCCAGUCCCACGCAUCAGGCCUCCAGUGCGCCUGCCCAGUCCAGGGCGUCCUGUUCCUGCUCUCCGCACUUGCCCUGAGGUGCGUGUUAAUAGUCUGGCGCCUCCAAAGCCAGCCCCACGCAUCAGACCUCCAGUGUGCCUGCCCAGUCCAGUACAUCCUGUUCCUGCUCCCCGCACGAGCCCUGAGGUGCGUGUUACUAGUCUGGCGCCUCCUAUGCC